UACGUAGGGUGCAAGCGUUAAUCGGAAUUACUGGGCGUAAAGCGUGCGCAGGCGGUUUUGUAAUGUCAGAUGUGAAAUCCCCGGGCUUAACCUGGGAACUGCGUUUGAAACUACAAGGCUAGAGUGUGGCAGAGGGGGGUGGAAUUCCACGUGUAGCAGUGAAAUGCGUAGAGAUGUGGAGGAACACCGAUGGCGAAGGCAGCCCCCUGGGUUAACACUGACGCUCAGGCACGAAAGCGUGGGGAGCAAACAGG
rnacentral:rRNA from 1 species